rnacentral:tRNA from 1 species
GGGCGCAUAGCUCUAAUGGUAGAGCGUCGGUCUCCAAAACCGGUGGUUGGGGGUUCGAGUCCCUCUGCGCUCG